CUACGGGGGGCUGCAGUGAGGAAUGUUGCACAAUGGGGGGAACCCUGAUGCAGCAACGCCGCGUGGAGGAUGACGCAUUUCGGUGUGUAAACUCCUUUUAUGUGUCAAGAAAAUGACGGUAGCAUAUGAAUAAGCACCGGCUAACUCCGUGCCAGCAGCCGCGGUAAUACGGAGGGUGCAAGCGUUACUCGGAAUCACUGGGCGUAAAGGACGCGUAGGCGGGUUGGAAAGUCAGGUGUGAAAUCCUACAGCUUAACUGUAGAACUGCACUUGAAACUUCUAAUCUAGAGUAUGGGAGGGGGAGAUGGAAUUAGUGGUGUAGGGGUAAAAUCCGUAGAUAUCACUAGGAAUACCUAAAGCGAAGGCGAUCUCCUGGAACAUUACUGACGCUAAGGCGUGAAAGCGUGGGGAGCAAACAGGAUUAGAUACCCCGGUAGUC
rnacentral:rRNA from 1 species